rnacentral:lncRNA from 1 species
AAAUAAAAGGUAAAUUUUUUUUUUGAAACAUACUUUUUAAAAUUCGAAUUUUUUUUUAAUUUUUUUCGAAUUUAUUUAAAAAAAAAAUUUCAAAUUUCUUUUUGAAAAACGGAAAUUGUGUUUGAAACUAUUUUUAAAAAAAAUUUAUCUAUUUUUUAAGUAUUUAUAUAUUUAUUAGAAUCAUAAAUUUCACAUUCCAAAACCCUACCCCACCCCUCAACUCUAAACCCUAAGUCUAGAUUAGUCAACCCUAAGGGUAUAAUUGUAUUUUACCCUUCAUUAAAAGUGAGGGUAAAAGUGGUUAGUGUAAACAUGAAAAGUGAUACUAUGAAUGUGGUAUUUGUGGCAAUUUCC